rnacentral:SRP_RNA from 1 species
GCUGGGCACGGUGGCGCGUGCCUGUAAUCCCAGCUGCUGGGGAGGCUGAGGCAGGAGAAUUGCCUGAACCCAGGAGGCGGAGAUUGCAGUGAGCCAAGAUCGUGCCAUUGCACUCCAGCCUGGGUAACAAGAGCGAAACCACGUUUCAAAAAAAAAAAGGAGAUCUAAUUCUCUUUCUUUUUCUUUUCUUUUUUUUUUGAGAUGGAGUUUCGCUCUUGUUACCCAGGCUGGAGUGCAAUGGCGCGAUCUUUGCUCACCGCAAUCUCCGCCUCCUGGGUUCAGGCAAUUCUCCUGCCUCAG